AUGAACGCUGGCGGCGUGCCUAAUACAUGCCAGUCGCGCGAACAGACGAGGAGCUUACUCCUCUGACGUUAGCGGCGGACGGGUGAGUAACACGUGGAUAACCUACCUAUAAGACUGGGAUAACUUCGGGAAACCGGAGCUAAUACCGGAUAACAUGUUGAACCGCAUGGUUCAACAGUGAAAGACGGUCUUGCUGUCACUUAUAGAUGGAUCCGCGUCGCAUUAGCUAGUUGGUAAGGUAACGGCUUACCAAGGCAACGAUGCGUAGCCGACCUGAGAGGGUGAUCGGCCACACUGGAACUGAGACACGGUCCAGACUCCUACGGGAGGCAGCAGUAGGGAAUCUUCCGCAAUGGGCGAAAGCCUGACGGAGCAACGCUGCGUGAGUGAAGAAGGUCUUCGGAUCGUAAAACUCUGUUAUUAGGGAAGAACAAAUGUGUAAGUAACUAUGCACGUCUUGACGGUACCUAAUCAGAAAGCCACGGCUAACUACGUG
rnacentral:rRNA from 1 species